GCUGCAAACUCCGCGCAGGAGCCAGACACCAAAUAUAUCCAUUUUCUGCUUCUCCAGCAAGGCACCCAAGACGGCCUCCAGAGCCCUGGGUCCCUUCCCACCCGUGCCACAGGCUCUCCGCAGAUGCGUUCCGGGAGCCCAGGAUGCCAGACCAAAUAAAUGCCAGGCUCCACUCACGUCCACCCCUUAGCACUGAUAGAAAACGCAACUCCAAGUCCAGACCCUAAUUGCACCCUUCAGGUGACAGAGAUCUUUUGGAAGAAUGACAAGGAGCCUUUCAGGUUGACUUUGAAAAUGCCCCAGGCUUUGAAAUGCCAGAUCCAGCCCUCCAGCAAACUCCUCCCGGCUCUGCUUCGCUUUUCCAAGAAACACCCAUUGUUCGUGAAGUCUAGUAAACCUACCAGUCCCCGGGGCACCAUGCUAAUGCCAUGUCCUCCAAAAUCCUGUCCUGGAUUCAGCCUGGAAAUCUAUCCAGUCCUUAAAUUUUGUCAGCAUUUCAGCUACAUCUUCCUGGUGCUGCGGGGUACCGUCUGCUUCGUAUCACGGUUCUGCUCAGGGAUUGGGGGUAGGGGCUGUAUCUACAUUCUACAGCUACUCCCCGCUUACAACAGAAGCUGCUAGUGUCCAUCAAAUAUUCCAUGUGUCCUCUAUUUUCCAAAUCCCCUUGCAAUACCUUAGGGUCAUAUGACUAGUUCAGGUCAACAAGUUAUAAGGAGGAGUGGCAGCUGUCACUUCUGGGCCGAGGGAUAAAAGCCAGUGUGCUUACCCAUCCUUCUCUUCCUUCCUGGAACCCUCAUUGGUCACAUGUCCCCAGAAGGUACAACUACAAAAUGGAAAGCUUCCAUCAGGGGCCCCUGAACGCCUAUGUGAGACAGACAACUCCUGGCCACCCUUGUUGGAUGUGUUACCUGAGCAAGAA